rnacentral:lncRNA from 1 species
CCAUAUCAAUUAGCACCUGUCCAACCUUGCUGCAGGUAGACUACAGCCGGCAAAACCGCAACGUAAGUACACAAACUACAUUCCUUGGUGUGAGUUUUACGAGACUGUUUGAUGAUACAAAACUGUAAAAAAAAAAAAAAAAUCAAAAUUUCCACUCGUGAAUGUAAACAUAGGCUAGCUCACCCUAACUUCAAAUGUUGCUGAUUAAGAAACUCUGCCCUCUAGCGGCCAACAAACGCACCUGCUGCUGACACUCCAGGAAGCGGAAGUCAUAAUGCAGGUUUUUAAAAACAACUAAAAAGUACGCUGAAUAUCACAAAUGCGCGUUAAAUUGACAUUUUUUUAACCAUCUAACCAAAUUUCUUUGUUUUUACACAGGCCUGACAGCAUCAAAACUGGUCAAAUUGAAGGCCUAUGUGUGUUUACCUCUGCUAUAGCCCAGUGGUUCUCAACUGGUCUCACUCUGGGACCCACGUUUUCCCACGAUCCCUAAGUCACAACCAGCUUUUAUAUAAAUCAAUCCAAGCAAAUGUAUUUUUUAUCAAAAUAAAAUAACUUUAAAGACUCAAAUCUUCA